rnacentral:rRNA from 1 species
UCUCUCUGAAUCUGCGAACGGCUCCGCAAACCAGUUGUAAACCAAAGCAAGCAAGUCCAUGGACCGCCCUUCACGGGGUGGGCUGUGGGCGAUACGGAUAACCCUGGUAAUUCUGAGGCUAAUACGAGAACGUAAUCCCUGGUUAACCGGGCAACUGGAAGGCCGGGGGGCGUGUGAUCUAUUUGCAAGGAUGAUCCAGGAAGGGGCGCACGCUCGGACCACGACAAAGACAGUUCCGACAAACCUCCGGGUGAGUUGGUCCUGAGUGGCUCUUGCGAAGUGCUUCUGACCUAUCAACUAGAUGGCAGCGUAACGGACAUGCCAUGGUUACAACGGGUACAGAGGAUUAGGGUUCGAUCCUGGAGAGUGGGCCUGAGAGAUU